rnacentral:rRNA from 1 species
UGGGGAAUUUUGCACAAUGGGGGAAACCCUGAUGCAGCGACGCCGCGUGAUUUAGAAGGCCUUCGGGUUGUAAAAAUCUUUUGUAUGGGAAGAAAAUGACAGUACCAUACGAAUAAGGACCGGCUAAUUACGUGCCAGCAGCCGCGGUAAUACGUAAGGUCCGAGCGUUGUCCGGAAUCAUUGGGCGUAAAGGGUACGUAGGCGGAUAAGCAAGUUAGAAGUGAAAUCCUAUAGCUCAACUAUAGUAAGCUUUUAAAACUGCUCAUCUUGAGGUAUGGAAGGGAAAAUGGAAUUCCUAGUGUAGCGGUGAAAUGCGCAGAUAUUAGGAGGAAUACCGGUGGCGAAGGCGACUUUCUGGCCAUAUACUGACGCUGAGGUACGAAAGAGUGGGUAGCAAACAGG